UACGAAGGGGGCGAGCGUUGUUCGGAUUUACUGGGCGUAAAGGGCGCGUAGGCGGCUUUGUAAGUUAGAGGUGAAAGCCCGGAGCUCAACUCCGGAAUUGCCUUUAAGACUGCAUCGCUCGAAUCAUGGAGAGGUGAGUGGAAUUCCGAGUGUAGAGGUGAAAUUCGUAGAUAUUCGGAAGAACACCAGUGGCGAAGGCGACUUACUGGACGAUUGUUGACGCUGAGGUGCGAAAGCGUGGGGAGCAAACAGG
rnacentral:rRNA from 1 species